UUAAGUUAACAAGGGCGCAUGGUGAAUGCCUUGGCACUAGGAGCCGAUGAAGGACGGGACUAACACCGAUAUGCUUCGGGGAGCUGUACGUAAGCUAUGAUCCGGAGAUUUCCGAAUGGGGCAACCCAGCAGUUUUAAUCAACUGUUACCACUAGAUGAAUUCAUAGUCUAGUUGGAGGUAAACGCUGUGAACUGAAACAUCUCAUUAGCAGCAGGAAUAUAAAGAAAUUUCGAUUCCCUAAGUAGCGGCGAGCGAACGGGGAACAGCCCAAACCAAAGUGCUUGCACUUUGGGGUUGUAGGACUGAACAUUUGAGUUACCAAAGAACUUGAUAGUCGAAGGAUUUGGGAAAAUCCGCCAUAGAUGGUGAUAGCCCAGUAGAUUAAAUCAAAUUCUCUCAGUUCAGGAUCCUGAGUACGGCGGAACACGUGAAAUUCCGUCGGAAUCCGGGAGGACCAUCUCCCAAGGCUAAAUACUACCUAGUGACCGAUAGUGAACCAGUACCGUGAGGGAAAGGUGAAAAGCACCCCGGGAGGGGAGUGAAAUAGUUCCUGAAACCAUGUGCCUACAAUAAGUCAGAGCGCGUUAAUGCGUGAUGGCGUGCCUUUUGUAGAAUGAACCGGCGAGUUAUGAUCCCGUGCAAGGUUAAGACUAAAAAGUCGGAGCCGUAGCGAAAGCGAGUCUGAAAUGGGCGUUUUGAGUACGAGGUUAUAGACCCGAAACCAGGUGACCUAUCCAUGUCCAGGUUGAAGGUGCGGUAAAACGCACUGGAGGACCGAACCCGUGUAAGUUGAAAAUUGCUGGGAUGAGGUGUGGAUAGCGGUGAAAUUCCAAACGAACUUGGAGAUAGCUGGUUCUCUCCGAAAUAGCUUUAGGGCUAGCCUCGGAAUUAGGAUCAUGGAGGUAGAGCACUAUUUGGACUAGGGGCCCGUCUUGGGUUACUGAAUUCAGAUAAACUCCGAAUGCCAUUGAUUCAUAUCCGGGAGUCAGACGAUGAGUGAUAAGAUCCACCGUCGAAAGGGGAACAGCCCAGACCAUCAGUUAAGGUCCCUAAAUGUAUGCUAAGUGGAAAAGGAUGUGGAGUUGCAUAGACAACUAGGAUGUUGGCUCAGAAGCAGCCACCAUUUAAAGAGUGCGUAAUAGCUCACUAGUCGAGUGAUCCUGCGCCGAAAAUGUACCGGGGCUAAGCAUACUACCGAAACCAUGGAUGCGACCAUUAGGUCGCGUGAUAGGAGAGCGUUCUAAGGGCGGUGAAGCAAGAUCGUGAGGACUUGUGGAGCGCUUAGAAGUGAGAAUGCCGGUAUGAGUAGCGAAAGAUAGGUGAGAAUCCUAUCCACCGAAUGACUAAGGUUUCCUGGGGAAGGCUCGUCCUCCCAGGGUUAGUCGGGACCUAAGUCGAGGCCGAGAGGCGUAGACGAUGGAUAACAGGUUGAGAUUCCUGUACUAGUUAAGUGCGUUUGAGCAAUGGAGGGACGCAGGAGGCUAAGAUGUGCAUUCUGUUGGAUUAGAAUGUCCAAGCAGUAAGUCUUGUGAAGAGUCAAAUGCUUUUCACUUUAAGGACAAGCUGUGAUGGGGAGCGAAAUUUAGUAGCGAAGCGUCUGAUGUCACACUGCCGAGAAAAGCUUCUAGUGAGUACUUAACUACCCGUACCGCAAACCGACACAGGUAGUCGAGGAGAGAAUCCUAAGGUGAGCGAGUGAACUCUCGUUAAGGAACUCGGCAAAAUGACCCCGUAACUUCGGGAGAAGGGGUGCUGAUCGCAAGAUCAGCCGCAGUGAAUAGGCCCAGGCGACUGUUUAUCAAAAACACAGGUCUCUGCAAAAUCGUAAGAUGACGUAUAGGGGCUGACGCCUGCCCGGUGCUGGAAGGUUAAAAGGAUGGGUUAGCUUCGGCGAAGCUCAGAAUUGAAGCCCCAGUAAACGGCGGCCGUAACUAUAACGGUCCUAAGGUAGCGAAAUUCCUUGUCGGGUAAGUUCCGACCCGCACGAAAGGCGUAACGAUCUGGGCACUGUCUCAACGAGAGACUCGGUGAAAUUAUAUUGUCCGUGAAGAUGCGGACUACCCGCGACAGGACGGAAAGACCCCAUGGAGCUUUACUGUAGCUUGAUAUUGAGUGUUUGUACAGCUUGUACAGGAUAGGUAGGAGCCAUAGAAACCGGAACGCUAGUUUCGGUGGAGGCGUUGGUGGGAUACUACCCUCGCUGUAUGACCACUCUAACCCGCACCACUAAUCGUGGUGGGAGACAGUGUCAGGUGGGCAGUUUGACUGGGGCGGUCGCCUCCUAAAAAGUAACGGAGGCGCCCAAAGGUUCCCUCAGAAUGGUUGGAAAUCAUUCGCAGAGUGUAAAGGCACAAGGGAGCUUGACUGCGAGACAGACAGGUCGAGCAGGGACGAAAGUCGGGCUUAGUGAUCCGGUGGUACCGUAUGGAAGGGCCAUCGCUCAACGGAUAAAAGCUACCCUGGGGAUAACAGGCUUAUCUCCCCCAAGAGUCCACAUCGACGGGGAGGUUUGGCACCUCGAUGUCGGCUCAUCGCAUCCUGGGGCUGUAGUCGGUCCCAAGGGUUGGGCUGUUCGCCCAUUAAAGCGGUACGCGAGCUGGGUUCAGAACGUCGUGAGACAGUUCGGUCCCUAUCCGUCGCGGGCGUAGGAAAUUUGAGAGGACCUGUCCUUAGUACGAGAGGACCGGGAUGGACAUACCUCUGGUGUACCAGUUGUGCCGCCAGGCGCAUCGCUGGGUAGCUACGUAUGGAUGUGAUAAACGCUGAAAGCAUCUAAGUGUGAAACACACCUCGAGAUGAGAUUUCCCAUUCCUUUAUGGAAGUAAGACCCCUGAAAGAUGAUCAGAUAGAUAGGUUAGAAGUGGCAGUGCGGUGACGCAUGAAGCGGACUAAUACUAAUCGGUCGAGGACUUAACCAA
rnacentral:rRNA from 1 species